rnacentral:rRNA from 1 species
GAUGAACGCUGGCGGUCUGCUUAACACAUGCAAGUCGAACGGGCUCUUCGGAGCUAGUGGCGGACGGGUGAGUAACGCGUGAGAAUCUGCCUUCAGGAGGGGGAUAACGACUGGAAACGGUCGCUAAUACCCCAUAUGCCUACGGGUAAAAUGUUUUUCGCCUGAAGAUGAGCUCGCGUCCGAUUAGCUAGUUGGUGAGGUAAGAGCUUACCAAGGCAACGAUCGGUAGCUGGUCUGAGAGGAUGAUCAGCCACACUGGGACUGAGACACGGCCCAGACUCCUACGGGAGGCAGCAGUGGGGAAUUUUCCGCAAUGGGCGCAAGCCUGACGGAGCAAGACCGCGUGCGGGAUGACGGCCUAAUGGUUGUAAACCGCUUUUCUCUGGGAAGAAGAUGACGGUACCAGAGGAGUAAGCCUCGGNUAACCCCGUGCCAGCAGCCGCGGUAAUACGGAGGAGGCACGCGUUAUCCGGAAUUAUUGGGCGUAAAGCGUCCGUAGGUGGUUCAUCAAGUCAGCUGUUAAAGAGCGGAGCUCAACUCCGUCGGAGCGGUUGAAACUGGUGAACUAGAGUUUGGUAGGGGUCGAGGGAAUUCCCAGUGUAGCGGUGAAAUGCGUAGAUAUUGGG